rnacentral:rRNA from 2 species
CCGGUGGGUACUUAUCACUUUCGCUUAGCCACUCAGGUCUCAAUUAACCCGAACAGCUAGUAACCAUCGUUUACGGCGUAGACUACCAGGGUAUCUAAUCCUGUUCGCUACCUACGCUUUCGUCCAUCAGCGUCAGUGUAUUGUUAGUGAUCUGCCUUCGCAAUCGGUAUUCUGAGUAAUAUCUAUGCAUUUCACCGCUACACUACUCAUUCUAACCACUUCACAAUAACUCAAGAACAACAGUAUCAAUGGCAAUUCUACAGUUAAGCUGCAGACUUUCACCACUGACUUAUCAUCCCGCCUACGGACCCUUUAAACCCAAUGAUUCCGGAUAACGCUUGGAUCCUCCGUAUUACCGCGGCUGCUGGCACGGAGUUAGCCGAUCCUUAUUCUUACAGUACCGUCAACACCCGACACGUCGGGCUUUUUCUUCCUGUAUAAAAGCAGUUUACAACCCAUAGGGCAGUCUUCCUGCACGCGGCAUGGCUGGAUCAGGAUUGCUCCCAUUGUCCAAUAUUCCUCACUGCUGCCUCCCGUAGG